rnacentral:misc_RNA from 1 species
GAUGAAGAACGUAGUGAAAUGCGAUACGUAAUGUGAAUUGCAGAAUUCAGUGAAUCAUCGAGUCUUUGAACGCACAUCGCGCCCCCUGGUAUUCCGGGGGGCAUGCCUGUCCGAGCGUCAUUGCUGCCCUCAAGCACGGCUUGUGUGUUGGGCCUCCGUCCUCCUCCCGGGGGACGGGCCCGAAAGGCAGCGGCGGCACCGCGUCCGGUCCUCGAGCGUAUGGGGCUUCGUCACCCGCUCUUGUAGGCCCGGCCGGCGCUUGCCGACACAUCAAUCUUUUUUCCAGGUUGACCUCGGAUCAGGUAGGGAUACCCGCUGAACUUAAGCAUAUCAAUAAGCGGAGGA